UACGUAGGGUGCGAGCGUUAAUCGGAAUUACUGGGCGUAAAGCGUGCGCAGGCGGUUUUGUAAGCCAGAUGUGAAAUCCCCGGGCUUAACCUGGGAAUGGCAUUUGGGACUGCAAGGCUGGAGUGUGGCAGAGGAGACUGGAAUUCCUGGUGUAGCAGUGAAAUGCGUAGAUAUCAGGAGGAAUACCGAUGGCGAAGGCAGGUCUCUGGGCUGACACUGACGCUCAUGCACGAAAGCGUGGGGAGCAAACAGGA
rnacentral:rRNA from 1 species